rnacentral:misc_RNA from 1 species
UAAUAAGUGUUUUUAUGGCACUUUUUAAAUCCAUAUCCACCUUGUGUGCAAUGUCAGUCGAUCUUCUUCAUGGAGAUCGACCAAACAUCAACCUUUAUCCUUUUAACUCUUUGUCUGAAAAAAUAUUAUGAAUAAACAAUUCAAAAUA